rnacentral:tRNA from 3 species
GGUGGAUGUAGCUCAGCUGGUUAGAGUGUCGGAUUGUGGUUCCGAAGGUCGCGGGUUCGAACCCCGUCUUCCACCCCCA